rnacentral:lncRNA from 1 species
UUACGGAGAGGUACACUAAAUUGCCCAUCAUUCGGUCGAACUUGUAAACAUCGAAAGUGGAAGUACAAAACUGGAGCAAUCAAAUUGUUGGCAAACAGCAGCACAAGAAAUGUAGAUGAAUUGCUGUAUGCCUGUAAUAAACUGAGGUUCAGACCAGCAAGAACUGAGGUUCAGACCAGCACUUGACACUUUGAAUCAAUCCCAGGAGUGUUAUAAUCAUUUCGGAUCAUUAGGACACAGAAGUGAAAUCAGACCAUAUAAGUCAUGCUGACCUGGAUUAGCUGCUGGUGAGGCACGGUAAAAUUGGCUAUCCCUCG